UUAAGCAUAUCAAUAAGCGGAGGAAAAGAAACCAACAGGGAUUGCCUCAGUAACGGCGAGUGAAGCGGCAACAGCUCAAAUUUGAAAUCUGGCUCACGCCCGAGUUGUAAUUUGUAGAGGAUGUUUCGGGUGAAGCCGCGGUCCAAGUCCCUUGGAACAGGACGUCAUAGAGGGUGAGAACCCCGUACCUGGCCGCCGGUGCCCCCCGCUGUGAAACUCCUUCGACGAGUCGAGUUGUUUGGGAAUGCAGCUCUAAAUUGGUGGUAAAUUCCAUCUAAAGCUAAAUACCGGCCAGAGACCGAUAGCGCACAAGUAGAGUGAUCGAAAGAUGAAAAGCACUUUGAAAAGAGAGUUAAAAAGUACGUGAAAUUGUUGAAAGGGAAGCGCUUGCGGCCAGACUUGCCUGCGGUUGCUCAGCUCGCCUUUUGGCGGGUGCACUCUUCCGCAGUCAGGCCAGCAUCGGUUUGGGCGGUCGGAUAAAGGCGUUGGGAACGUGGCCUCCCCUCGGGGAGGUGUUAUAGCCCGGCGCGCAAUGCGACCAGCCUGGACCGAGGUUCGCGCUUUGCUAGGAUGCUGGCGUAAUGGCCGUAAGCGGCCCGUCUUGAAACACGGACCAAGGAGUCUAACAUCUAUGCGAGUGUUUGGGUGUCAAACCCGUGCGCGUAAUGAAAGUGAACGGAGGUGGGAACCGCAAGGUGCACCAUCGACCGAUCCUGAUGUCUUCGGAAGGAUUUGAGUAAGAGCAUAGCUGUUGGGACCCGAAAGAUGGUGAACUAUGCGUGAAUAGGGUGAAGCCAGAGGAAACUCUGGUGGAGGCUCGCAGCGGUUCUGACGUGCAAAUCGAUCGUCAAAUUUGCGUAUAGGGGCGAAAGACUAA
rnacentral:rRNA from 1 species